rnacentral:tRNA from 1 species
AGCCCCGUCGUCUAGCGGCCAAGGAUACCGGGCUUUGGACCCGGGGACGGCGGUUCGAAUCCGCCCGGGGCUA